rnacentral:lncRNA from 1 species
AAGGAUUCCUGCUUGAAAUAGGAAAGUUAAGCCAAGGUUUCCUACUUUGGUUUGACCUUUCCUAAAUGCUCCUAAGUUUUAUCAACUUUGAAGGCAUCCUAAGCAUUCUAGGACAUCAAAUACACAUCUCUUGCACAUUGUGAACCCUUGCCGCACCCCCUUGACAUUUCCUCUUCCUUGCCAUGCAAGGGAGAGGGUUAUUUCCUGAUUCUAUGCUUUAAAACACAUUCCUAAUGUGUAGGAAUGUGUUUUAGGACCUUGCCGCAUAUUCCCUUGCCUUUUCCUUUAAUUUUCUGAUUGUGUUUCCUAUUUCUAGAAGCCUUAGACUUAAUUUCUGAUUACCUAAAUAACCUAGGGUUUUAAUUCCUGAAAUCCUUUAAAUAAACUCCCUUUGUGCAGCCACAAAUCAUCCAUAUACUGACCAUUCACGCCAAAACCUCCAUUCCACUCGCAGCCGCACCAUUCUACCACCAUUGACCCUAUUUACUGCCCAGAAACAUACCUAGCCGACCCCUACACCUAUCCUAACCAUAAACCCAUCCUUCUACAUCAUCCAUAACUCCCAAAACUCACCCCCAACCCUUGUGCCGCAGCAAAGGAGAGGAAGAAGAAGUGCUUGAAGGUUCUAGCUGUUCAACAUCGAAUCGUUGGAAUAUUUAGGUGUUCUCUUUCUUAUAUUUACAAUGUAUAAAUCUGUUUUCCUUUGUUUUGUGAACAGGAGGAACUAAGCCUUUUUGGCUAGGGGGUUAUUCAAUACCAUGAUUAUGCUUGCAAGAUGAAUUGAUUAC